UCUCUUUUCCAAACACAACAAACUCACCGCCACACACUGCCCUUCCUGUGACCUUGAAUCCAGAGACCACCAGGCCCAAAAGCCACCUGGAGGAUUUCACUACUGUCUCUGUGGUGGUCAGAAGGGCUGAGAGCAGAACGCAGGAGCCAGAAGACAAUGUCAGAACCCCUUGGAACUGGAGUUACAGACAGUUCCUGGGCCUUGAACUCAUAUCGCGAAGCUUAGAAGUGAGCACCCUUACAGGCUGAGCCACCUCUGGAUCCUACUGAACAUAUUUAAACAGGUGUGUAUCUGCACUGGAGUCUUGGUGAGGAGUCACAGAGAGCAGCUCCUGCCAUUCCGUGCCUGCAGAGCCUCCUGGCAGCUGCUGGGAACUGGCAAUCCCCACCUUCCUCCUGGGCUGGUUUGAUAUGGGGUAAGGCCAGCACCCAGAUGUCCUCUCCUUGGGAAAAGCCCUGAUCUGCCCAUGUGCCUGGAUGACAAAGCCACACACAGCAGCUGCAGGAUAACAGUUACAGCUCUUCAGUCUGGGGAGGGCUGUGACCGUCUGAGGUUUCACAACAGGUCUGAAGGACAAGCUGAAGUAUGAACCCAGAUGCCUAGACUUGAGGUUCAAAGCAGCCUCAAGGCUCCAGUCUCCCAGGGACUUAAAGCUGUUUCUUGUCAACAACAUUGCCCAGAAGCAGCUCGGAUGCAGACUGCACGUAUACAGGUGCCCAGGACAGUCAGAGUCUUUCACAAACAUGAGCGCCUAUGUCAUUGUCAAACAGCACCGCGGUCCCUUAGUGCCUAGAAAGGAUGUCAAACCUGGGGAUGACAGCCCAGAGUCCCUUAUGAACAGCAGUGUAAUGUAUGAACUAUCUAAGUA
ensembl:lincRNA Gm10804 predicted gene 10804